CAAGGAAUAGUUUAAUUAGAAUUUCAGCUUUGGGUGUUGAUGGUGGAGCUUGGAGUUCCUUCCUUGA
rnacentral:tRNA from 1 species